rnacentral:rRNA from 1 species
UACGUAGGGUGCAAGCGUUGUCCGGAAUUAUUGGGCGUAAAGAGCUCGUAGGCGGUCUGUCGCGUCUGCUGUGAAAACCCGGGGCUCAACCCCGGGCUUGCAGUGGAUACGGGCAGACUAGAGUUCGGUAGGGGAGACUGGAAUUCCUGGUGUAGCGGUGAAAUGCGCAGAUAUCAGGAGGAACACCGGUGGCGAAGGCGGGUCUCUGGGCCGAUACUGACGCUGAGGCGCGAAAGCUAGGGGAGCAAACGGG